rnacentral:rRNA from 1 species
CACGGGGGGAGCAAGCGUUGUUCGGAUUUACUGGGCGGAAAGGGCGCGUAGGCGGCCACCGCAAGUCGACUGUGAAAUCUCCGGGCUUAACUCGGAAAGGUCAACUGAUACUGUGCGACUAGAGUGCGGAAGGGGCAACUGGAAUUCUCGGUGUAGCGGUGAAAUGCGUAGAUAUCGAGAGGAACACCUGCGGCGAAAGCGGGUUGCUGGGCCGACACUGACGCUGAUGCGCGAAAGCCAGGGGAGCGAACGGG